CACGUAGGGCGCAAGCGUUGUCCGGAAUUAUUGGGCGUAAAGAGCUCGUAGGCGGUCUGUUGCGUCCGCUGUGAAAACUCGGGGCUUAACCCCGAGCCUGCAGUGGAUACGGGCAGACUAGAGGUAGGUAGGGGAGAAUGGAAUUCCCGGUGUAGCGGUGAAAUGCGCAGAUAUCGGGAGGAACACCGGUGGCGAAGGCGGUUCUCUGGGCCUUACCUGACGCUGAGGAGCGAAAGCGUGGGAGCGAACAG
rnacentral:rRNA from 1 species